UCUCUCUCUCUCUCUCUCUCUUCCUCUCUACCUUUCUCUCUACCUCUCUCUCUACUUCUCUAUCUUUCUCUCACCGAUGUAAGUCCCGCCAACGAAAUAGGUCCAUAACGCCUAAUGAUUCUAUAACCUUGUUUAUGCCUGGUAAAAGAGACGACCCUCAGCGACAAACUGGAAAACUGACCAGGAACGACGGACUCAAUCCGCGUCUAUUUCACGCGAUAAGCCACCGUCACCAAAGCGUCAGAGCGUCCAUUGGCUUGUAAUAAAGUCGGUAUCGAAAAUAACGUGGGAAUUCGGCGAAAUUGUGACAGGAUUUUCGUGAUCGCCGAGGGCGGUCGAUCUAUUUAGGCGACUAUACCAAGCGUAACCGUAUACCAAGCGAUGAUAAGCGCAAAUACACGAGAGUGCGAGAUCGAGAUAGCGCUAACGGUAUAUUUACGGCGAGUAAUCGGAAGAGGAUGAAAUUGCGACGGAGCGACUCGCAAACGCGAUGAUAUUAAUUUUCCUCGGUAAUAUCGCGCCUGCACAUACAAUACACAUAUUUUAUUUGAAAAUAUUUACGCUUUCGCAAUUUCUCAAAAAAAACAAACGAAUUGUGACAUUUUACUAGAAUUAACUAGAAUAAAUCUAGAUAGAUUUUCGCGAAUGACCGUUUGUUCGUUUUUUUACAUAGUUCACGGGAAGCGUGUGUCGAAAAAUUCUGCUGAGCGGAGUAUUUCCUUCCCGAGUCUUCAGCCGGUCGAAAGCCCGUUUCCACCGUAUCGUCCCUCUUCCCGGGGGUGGGCGAACACGUCGACCACGGGGCAGAGGGGUAGCCAGUAAAUAGAAGAGAGGAUGAGGGAGAAAGAGAGAAAGAGAGAGAAAGAGAAGAGAUAGGGGCGGCGGUGGAAGGGGUGCACCGACGGUUUCUGGGGGUGGAGGCGCAGGAGGCAACGUGGUGUAUUGAUCGAGUGGCUCUCUCGCGUCGAGACCAACGCCGCCACUUUCGGGCCACCCGGUAUACGCGUGCGCAUGUGCGUGUAUGUGUAUGCACGAGUCGAUGCCUAUGUAGCCACGGAUCGACACGCAUCGUAUACAGAGUGCUUCACGUAGAAUGAUCCAGUCCAGCAUGUCUUGAAGAAUAUUGAAGAUGAAAGAAACAAAAGAAAGGAAACUUAAUUAAACUCGUUAAACUCAUCAAAAUUAAAGUAACCAUUUUAAAUAAUUUUAAAAAAUUUGGAGUAAAAAAAUCUAAAUAAAAAACUUUCGUUUUAGAUCCUAGAAUGUCGCGACAUUAAUGUCUCUCCCUGAUAAAUCGCUUAGAAAUUUUUGUCCCUUAGCAUCCAAACACGGUUGCCGAAUUCCUGCUGGUGAGAAAGAUCCUAGUACAGAAUUAAUAAAAAAUUCAUAACUGAAGGCGGCAUAUCCCGCGUGCAGCAUCCUGUAUUCAGGCGUAUCAGCACGUGAUGGACCAGACUGUACCUACGUGCGCGCUCCGCGGGAGGAGAACGAGAGGCAAUGGUCAGAAAAUAACUUGGUGCGUUUCCGCGUACGGACGUGCCUGUCUGUGUACGCGAGCGUGUCUGUAGACGACGCGUACAGAUGUGGGAUGCUGAAAACACCAUGAUCUACGGCGUGUGCAUCCCCGCGAAUAACGCCGAGGCACUUGGCCUGGAAAAUCUCCGGAGUGCAUUCGCGCGGAUGCACCAGCGGCAGCCGCGUACCGUGUCCAUGCGCGCAAACGCAUAAAUGUCAAUGGACGGUGCACGGAGGGGAAGAGGACGUUAUUGCUCUUUCUUCGUCGUUGUCGUCGUCGUCGUCGCCGCCACUGACGUCGUCAAGCAACUUUCGCUACAACGUGCGUGUCGCGGAAACGUCGUCGUCGUCGUCGUCGUCGGCGACGGCGGCGGCGGCAGCGGCGGCGAUGGCAGAGCGAAAAUAUCGAUGUAAUUCUGAAUGGGGCCUGCUUCUCCGGGGACCCGUGAACAGAUUGAAAAAAAACGCGCUCUCAUACAGACUCUAAUGGACCCAUAGACAUCAGACAUGGCUCAUAGAGGAGCCAGAGAGGGCAAUCCGUCCCUGAGGAAGGGUGGAUGGUCGCCACUGUCGGCUCAGCUUCAUCCCCACCGAACCCUCGUCGAGGGGGAAGGCAAGGCGCUCAAUAUCAAAUCGUGGAAAAACCGUCGGUGGAAAUAUCGAGGAUGAAGCUGAAAACGCAUUAUUGUGACUCGGUCGACCAGCUCGUCUUUUUUCAGCUUUAAUCUUGAUAGAUUUUUAUCUUUUAUUUUUUUCCAAGCUUUGACGUACUUUUCCUCGGACAUUGUACGCUUCAGAGAGCGAGAAAGAACAAUAAAUGUUCGUUAAUUAAAUGUUACCAAUAGUGAGGAGUACAUUAAAAAAAAAAACGAUUAAAUUACAGAGUUAUUGGGAUUGCAAAGAGCAUUACUUUUGCUUGUCAAUUUAAUCUGUGAAAUUACGCAUUCUAGCUUCUUGUAGGGACUGUGUCCCAAGACAAAAUUCUGUAAUUCAUGACCUGGAAAUAAUAAAAAUCACAAAAAUUAUUCAGCAACAAGA
rnacentral:lncRNA from 1 species